rnacentral:tRNA from 1 species
AUUCUUUAGUUUAUAAAAAUACCUACUUUGGAUGUAGGAGAUACUUUUAUG